GUAAAGAGUACGUAGGCGGCUUUUCAAGUCGGAUGUGAAAGCCCUGAGCUUAACUCAGGAACUGCAUUCGAUACUGGAUCGCUAGAGUAUAUUAGAGGAUAGUGGAAUUUCAAGUGUAGCGGUGAAAUGCGUAGAUAUUUGAAGGAACACCAAUGGCGAAGGCAGCUAUCUGGAAUAAUACUGACGCUGAGGUACGAAAGCGUGGGGAGCAAACAGGAUUAGAUACCCUGGUAGUCCACGCCGUAAACGAUGAGAACUAGACGUUGGAUCCUUGAGGUUCAGUGGCACAGCUAACGCAUUAAGUUCUCCGCCUGGGGAGUACGGCCGCAAGGCUAAAACUCAAAUGAAUUGACGGGGGCCCGCACAAGCGGUGGAGCAUGUGGUUUAAUUCGACGCAACGCGAAGAACCUUACCUGGCCUUGACAUGCAGAGAACUUUCCAGAGAUGGAUUGGUGCCUUCGGGAACUCUGACACAGGUGCUGCAUGGCC
rnacentral:rRNA from 1 species